rnacentral:rRNA from 1 species
GAUGAACGCUGGCGGCGUGCCUAAUACAUGCAAGUCGAGCGAACAGACGAGGAGCUUGCUCCUCUGACGUUAGCGGCGGACGGGUGAGUAACACGUGGAUAACCUACCUAUAAGACUGGGAUAACUUCGGGAAACCGGAGCUAAUACCGGAUAAUAUAUUGAACCGCAUGGUUCAAUAGUGAAAGACGGUUUUGCUGUCACUUAUAGAUGGAUCCGCGCCGCAUUAGCUAGUUGGUAAGGUAACGGCUUACCAAGGCAACGAUGCGUAGCCGACCUGAGAGGGUGAUCGACCACACUGGAACUGAGACACGGUCCAGACUCCUACGGGAGGCAGCAGUAGGGAAUCUUCCGCAAAGGGCGAAAGCUUGACGGAGCAACGCCGCGUGAGUGAUGAAGGUCUUCGGAUCGUAAAACUCUGUUAUUAGGGAAGAACAAAUGUGUAAGUAACUAUGCACGUCUUGACGGUACCUAAUCAGAAAGCCACGGCUAACUACGUG